GACGUCGAUAUUUGACGUCAUAAACAUGAUCAACUUUGGUGUUUAUGACGUCGAUAUUCGACGUCAUAAACACGAUCAACUAUGGGGUUUAUGACGUCGAUAUUCGACGUCAUAAACUCGAUCAGCUUUGGUGUUUAUGACGUCGACAUUCGACGUCAUAAACACAAUCAACUUAGGUGUUUAUGACGUCGAUAUUGAACGUCUUAAACACGAUCAACUUUGGUGUUUAUGACGUCGAUAUUGGACGUC
rnacentral:miRNA from 1 species